UUCUAUGGCGGUUCAGGCAGGGGAGGCUUACGCCUCGCCGGAAGUUGAUCCCGGUUGUGAUAACCCUGUCUGAAUCGCCACCAUC
rnacentral:antisense_RNA from 1 species